AAGUGCAACAGGGAAAGACAUUUCGGAUACGAUGAGGGUGGGUAGAGUUCACACGCCCAUAAAUAAGGACAAAAGCGGUUUUAAUCCCUAAGGACAUCCUGAUGCUGUAAAGAAUCUGACAAAACAGAUCCUAUUGGACUAUUCUACUAGUUUCAGAGAACGCUUAAUCAACGUCUCACUUCUUUCUCUCAUGUACUGGCAUGAACUUCAUUGUCAAAGCCAUUAAGAUCCCUUCAAAUAGCUUUCCUGUCUUGCUUGAUUUGUCUCCUUUUUCCACUAAUUCUACUACAUUGUCCACUGUCCAUAAACUGAUUCACAACUAUACUUAAACAUCAUACUCGUUUUUAGAUUUAUUUCAAUAGAAUUGUCCAACUGUGGAACAAACUCAACCCUCUCUAAGUCUCAUAUCUUACUCUCCCUUCCACUUGUCCUGUGUGUUGUAAAACAUUAUAUAGUAAUAAUAAUAAAA
rnacentral:lncRNA from 1 species